rnacentral:rRNA from 1 species
UACGUAGGGUGCGAGCGUUGUCCGGAAUUAUUGGGCGUAAAGGGCGCGUAGGCGGUUGGGUAAGUCGGGUGUGAAAACUCAGGGCUCAACUCUGAGACGCCACUCGAUACUGCUCUGACUCGAGUCCGGUAGGGGAGCGUGGAAUUCCCGGUGUAGCGGUGAAAUGCGCAGAUAUCGGGAGGAACACCAGUGGCGAAGGCGGCGCUCUGGGCCGGAACUGACGCUGAGGAGCGAAAGCGUGGGUAGCAAACAGG